GACAGAGGUGCCGAGCGUUAGGCGGAAUCACUGGGCUUAAAGCGUGUGUAGGCGGGCGGGCAAGUACCUUGUGAAAUCCCACGGCUCAACCGUGGAACGGCUGGGUAUACUGCCUGUCUUGAGCCAACUAGGGGCGAGCGGAACAGACGGUGGAGCGGUGAAAUGCGUAGAUAUCGUCUGGAACGCCGAAGGUGAAAACAGCUCGCUGGGGUUGUGCUGACGCUGAGACACGAAGCCAGGGGAGCGAACGGG
rnacentral:rRNA from 1 species